rnacentral:rRNA from 1 species
GACAGAGGGUGCAAACGUUGUUCGGAAUUACUGGGCGUAAAGCGCGUGUAGGCUGUCCCGCAAGUCGGGUGUGAAAGCCCUGGGCUCAACCCAGGAAGUGCACUCGAAACUGCGGGACUCGAGUCCUGGAGAGGAAGGCGGAAUUCUCGGUGUAGAGGUGAAAUUCGUAGAUAUCGAGAGGAACACCGGUGGCGAAGGCGGUUUCCUGGAGCCCACUUGACGCUGAGACGCGAAAGCUGGGGGAGCAAACGGG